GCCGUGGAAGCUUUCAAGAAGCGUUGGUUUUGUAACCCGAGUAUGUGGAUCGUACCUCCACCCAUGGCU